GAUUAACGCUGGCGGCAUGCCUUAUGCAUGCAAGUAGAACGGCAGCGGGGGAGAAGCUUGCUUUUCCUGCCGGCGAGUGGCGAACGGGUGAGUAAUGCAUCGGAACGUGCCCUGUAGUGGGGGAUAACUAGUCGAAAGAUUAGCUAAUACCGCAUACGACCUGAGGGUGAAAGUGGGGGACCGCAAGGCCUCAUGCUAUAGGAGCGGCCGAUGUCUGAUUAGCUAGUUGGUGGGGUAAAGGCCUACCAAGGCGACGAUCAGUAGCUGGUCUGAGAGGACGAUCAGCCACACUGGGACUGAGACACGGCCCAGACUCCUACGGGAGGCAGCAGUGGGGAAUUUUGGACAAUGGGCGAAAGCCUGAUCCAGCAAUGCCGCGUGUGUGAAGAAGGCCUUCGAGUUGUAAAGCACUUUUGUCCGGAAAGAAAUGGCUCUGGUUAAUACCUGGGGUCGAUGACGGUACCGGAAGAAUAAGGACCGGCUAACUACGUGCCAGCCGCCGCCGUAA
rnacentral:rRNA from 1 species